ensembl:rRNA 5S_rRNA 5S ribosomal RNA
UACGGCCAUACUACUACCCUGGAUGUGCCCAAUCUCAUCUGAUCUGGGAAGCAAAGCAGGGUCAGGCCUGGUUAGUACAGGGGGUUAGGGAAACAAAGGAGAGACAGGAAACGCAGUGA